rnacentral:rRNA from 1 species
CGGGGUGCAGCAGGCGCGAAAACUUUACAAUGCUGGCAACAGCGAUAAGGGGACCUCGAGUGCCAGGAUACAAUCUUGGCUGUCGCGAUGCCUAAAAAGCAUUGCAUAGCAAGGGCCGGGCAAGACCGGUGCCAGCCGCCGCGGUAACACCGGCGGCUCGAGUGGUAACCGCUAUUAUUGGGUCUAAAGGGUCUGUAGCCGGCCGGAUAAGUCUCUUGGGAAAUCCAGCAGCUCAACUGUUGGGCUUUCAGGAGAUACUGUUCGGCUCGAGGCCGGGAGAGGUGAGAGGUACUUCAGGGGUAGGGGUGAAAUCUUGUAAUCCUUGAAGGACCACCAGUGGCGAAGGCGUCUCACCAGAACGGACCUGACGGCAAGGGACGAAAGCUAGGGGCACGAACCGGAUUAGAUACCCGGGUAGUCCUAGCCGUAAACGAUACUCGCUAGGUGUCAGCCACGGUGCGACCGUGGUUGGUGCCGUAGGGAAGCCGUGAAGCGAGCCACCUGGGAAGUACGGCCGCAAGGCUGAAACUUAAAGGAAUUGGCGGGGGAGCAC